UACGUAGGGACCAAGCGUUGUUCGGAUUUACUGGGCGUAAAGGGCGCGUAGGCGGCGUGACAAGUCACUUGUGAAAUCUCCGGGCUUAACCCGGAACUGCCAAGUGAUACUGUCGUGCUAGAGUGCGGAAGGGGCAAUCGGAAUUCUCGGUGUAGCGGUGGAAUGCGUAGAUAUCGAGAGGAACACCUGAGGUGAAGACGGGUUGCUGGGCCGACACUGACGCUGAGUGCGCGAAAGCCAGGGGAGCAAACGGG
rnacentral:rRNA from 1 species